UUUUUAUGGAGAGUUUGAUCCUGGCUCAGGAUGAACGCUGGCGGCGUGCCUAAUACAUGCAAGUCGAGCGAACAGACGAGGAGCUUGCUCCUCUGACGUUAGCGGCGGACGGGUGAGUAACACGUGGAUAACCUACCUAUAAGACUGGGAUAACUUCGGGAAACCGGAGCUAAUACCGGAUAAUAUAUUGAACCGCAUGGUUCAAUAGUGAAAGACGGUUUUGCUGUCACUUAUAGAUGGAUCCGCGCCGCAUUAGCUAGUUGGUAAGGUAACGGCUUACCAAGGCGACGAUGCGUAGCCGACCUGAGAGGGUGAUUGGCCACACUGGAACUGAGACACGGUCAGACUCCUACGGGAG
rnacentral:rRNA from 1 species